CUGUACCUACGGGGGGCAGCAGUGAGGAAUAUUGGUCAAUGGGCUUACGCCUGAACCAGCCAAGUCGCGUGAGGGAAGACUGCCCUACGGGUUGUAAACUUCUUUUAUAAAGGAAUAAAGUGAGGCACGUGUGCCUUUUUGUAUGUACUUUAUGAAUAAGGAUCGGCUAACUCCGUGCCAGCAGCCGCGGUAAUACGGAGGAUCCGAGCGUUAUCCGGAUUUAUUGGGUCUAAAGGGAGCGUAGAUGGGUUGUUAAGUCAGUUGUGAAAGUUUGCGGCUCAACCGUAAAAUUGCAAUUGAUACUG
rnacentral:rRNA from 1 species